AGAGCUCAAAUUUGUAAUCUGGCGGUCUCAGGCCGUCCGAGUUGUAAUCUGGAGAAGCGUUUUCAGUGCCGGCCCGCGUACAAGUCCCCUGGAACGGGGCGUCGCAGAGGGUGAGAAUCCCGUCUUUGACGCGGUCUGCCCGGUGCCAUGUGAUGCGCUCUCGAAGAGUCGAGUUGUUUGGGAAUGCAGCUCAAAACGGGUGGUAAAUUCCAUCUAAAGCUAAAUACUGGCGAAAGACCGAUAGCGAA
rnacentral:rRNA from 1 species